CACAGAGAAUUGCUAUACUGUGGAGAGUUUCUCAUCCGUUAGUGAUAUGUCAAGGAUUUUUUUGGUUUUAGCUUCUUAAUUUUUUUUGAUAUUUCAGUUUGCUUACUGCACCCUCUAUCUGCCUAGUCAUAUCUGUUUCAUGCUCUAUAUUCCAGAAGGUUGAGUUGCAUAUAUCUUAAUUCAGGCCCCUUCCAUGAAGAGCCACAAUAUUUGGUCUCCAGUUGAAUGGACAGAGGACAGUGGCUGAUAAUUUGACGUCACAUCUGCAUAAAAUUAUCAAAACAGUAAUGGGAACAGUAUCAACAAAGAACUAAACUUUUCUAUUAAGAGUAUGUCUGCCUCUUGGAAGCCUGUAGGAACCACAGAAAAAAUACAAGCCCUGCAGGUUUAGUCUCUUUAGAAAGAAGUCUGUGGAAAUGCGAAGUAUUACUAGAAUGAAGUGCUCUAUAUUACUGAGAGAAAAACUCAGUAAGCCAAAAUCUUAAGAGCAUUCUGAAGUUUCCAAAGAUAUGUACCAUUUUUUUUGCUCUUGGCAUCAUCUUCGCUGUGGCUACAAUGUGCUCGUUUUAUAAAGAGUGACCACAGGACAAAACACCUAUUUGGGGCCAUUGUGUUUUGGAGUUGUUCAGGGGUAGUUGCCUUCAGAGGAAGUUAAAGCAGAGUGCCUAAGUUGAUGUAUUAUUUAUCUCUCAAGGUAUUUCUGGAAGCACCUUUUGUUUUCAGCAGAAGUUUCUGGGAAUGUGAUUGCAGGAUAAUUGUUGUGCAAUCUGGCACUAGGCAGAGCAUUGGCAAGGUAAGGCUGAUAUUUCAAAAUUCAGCCAGACCUACCCUGGGAAAAUAAGAGCUUCACAGGUGUGACCCCAACAUAUGAAGAGAGAAAUUGCUUCGUAAACAUGGCCAAAAAGACAGGACUCAGACCAUCCCUGUUGCUCUUCCUCAUCUCAGCAAACCUGUGCUGAGACAUUCACGUGUUCAGUGGGCAAUAGUGUCCCUGUCUGGAGAUAGGGAACUACGAGAGGAAUGUCCUUGUAACCAGUAAGAUCGGUUCUGAUCACUUGGAGAGUGCUAAUUAAGAUCAGUUUAAACACUCAUGCAGCUCUUAAUCAUUUUUGCACACAUUGUUGAGAAAGACGAGUGAAGUGCUCAGCUUUCUGGAGCCACACAUAGCUCUAAGAAUCAUAAAAAUGUCUUAAAAGUGCUAGUGUGUGUGUGUGUGCGUGUGUAUAUAUAAAAAAAUUUAAUACUCUUUCAAGUAUGAGUAUGGCAGCACAAGAGUAGAAGAAUUGCAAAACUUAAAUGUCCACAUUAAACUGAUAUAUGGUACAUACCAGAUGAUAUAUAUACUGCCUUAUUGUUCAGUUGUGGCUCAGGAAGCUAAAUGCAUAAUAUAAGAUGUAUGUAUAGUCUAAGGGUCAAACUCUGUCAGUUACACGAGUGUAAAUCAAGAGCAAUUGCUCCGAAGUGACUGAAGUUUCAGUACCCUGGAUUUACACAAGUGUUGCUGAAAGCAGAAUAUGAGUCAAUACAUGUCAUCAAUACAGCUGAGUUAGUGGCACUGAGGGAAUUUUAUGAUAUGCAUGCACCUAAAUCCUUCACUUUUUUUUUUUUUUUUUUAUGUUUUAUACUAUUACAUUUUAUGUUUCAAAUUUUGUCUAUGUGUUUAAAGGAAUAAGGGACUCAAAUCCUGAUUCUGUAAGUGAAAUGUCCCCUUCCCUCAUCUAGCAAAUUUUCUCAGUCUUGCUUCAUAACAGUGGGAUAGACAUCUCAUGUUCAUGGAAGGAUUACUUCCCUGACUUACAUUUAAGGCCAGUCUUAGUUUUUAUAAAUGCAUAAUUCUGAACCCCAGCAGAACGUUGCUAGGCUGGCUGGCUGACUGCAUGCAGAAAUGCAUCCUUGUCAUUUGCUCCAUUCUGUUAGCAAGUGUACAGAUUGUCGUAGGUCCAGGAGGCAAAGUUUCCUAGGCAUGUAGAAAGCAGGAUCUGGAUGCUUCAGGAAGAAUUGUGGAGCUGGUAGCAGUCAGUGGGUAUGGACAGCUGGCAGCUAAAGACAAAAUCAGCUGUUAUAAAAGAUCACAGGACAAUUUUCUUGACUGAUACAUUCUGAAAUUUUUAUUGAGAGGUUCAAGGAAAAAAAAAAAGGCUAUACAUGGGAUGCUACUUGGAAGAUAUAGUGCAAAACAAAGAGGUAUAAAACCUCAUAUUCUGUUGGGGAACGAGCAGAGUACCUGUCAGAUAUACCUGGUCUUCAAUGACCUUAUUUUACAUGGAGAAAGAAUAUAUGAUUUUCUGGGUUGAAAGGAGGUUUUUAAUUCUGAAAGGAGGUUAUAUGUUAAAUAUAUGGUAGCAGUCUAUUCAAUAAUAGAAGUCAAGUCCCUUACUUGGGAAGGCAGAAUCUGGUAUUCUAUCACAUAAAAUAAUGUCAUUUCUCUAACAUACUUUUAAAUUGAAUGUGUUAUUUUAAAUCACUUUUUUAUUAUAUUCUUGAAUACCUAGAAAGAUUAAAAAGCUCAAAAGGAGAUCCCUCAGUAUUCACAUAAUCAAAAAUGGCUGAAUUAAUUUGAUACAUAUAAAAAAAUAAAAUAGCCAUUUCAGAUUACAAUGAUCAACUGUGGGGGCUUACCACUUCAAAAGAAGCAGAACAAACCUCCAUGUGUGCUCAACACACACACACACUCCCUUAUCCAGUUAGAACAAUAUGUAGGUAUGGAUUUGGUGAGAUUGUUUGAUCCCAAAAGGAUUCGUAUAAGAAAAACUUCUCUUUCAGAGAAAUGAUCUCUCUAGAGACUGAUAGUGAUGAUACAAUAGGCUGGAGUUGCUAUUAUUAAAAAAAAAAUUACUACUUUUUCUGACUAUGUUUCUUUUUUUUCCCAGUGGGAUUCUGAUUCCAGACACUCAACUAGCCUGAUAUCCACUGGGAAAGUGAUGACACCAUAAAUUAUUUAAAGGUUUGAAAACCACAAGAACUACUGUAUAUAACCAGAUUGGAUUGACUUUUAAACUCUUUUGAUUAAUAAUACAUAAAGCCUUAGAUAUGUGAAUUGGUUGAGUGCUAACCUGUUAACAAAAGGAAUAGAAGGGAUGAAUUCUAUAAUUUCUCAUAAGUUAUUCUACUUAACAUAUUGGCCAAACAAAACAAACAAAUGGACAGCUCUGCCUUAGUCUUAGACCUUUAAUGCAUCAUCAAUAUUUGAUGACUACCUAAUGUCUCCAUAUAUCUGGACAAAGAAGAUAAUUUGAUCACCUGGCUUCCCAAUUUAAAAUUUCCAAAAUGCUUUCUCCUACAUUCAUCAAAACACAUAAAUAGAAAGUAGAUGCAGUUUCAAUAUCCUGGUUUGGUUUUUGCUUUUGUUUUGUUGGGUUGUUUUGUUUUUGGUUUUUUUUGAGUUUCAUUUUUAACAUUGCUAACUACUUACAAGAGAAAUUUUUUUUUUCAGUCUUCUGCAAUAAAUGGGGCUAGAAUUUCCUAAGUUUAUGAUAUUUGUCCUCAGCAGAAGGAUGAGAGUAGAUAUGUGUGAUGCAUGGGACAGAUUUCAUGUUCUACCCUUCCACUGCUGGCUCUGUUUUAAUUAUUUCCCAGGUCCCCAAGUUUCGGUCUCUUUCAUGCUGCUUUGGGUGGACCUCAAAGAGAAAUGUUGUUCUUUUCUCUUCAAGUACAGAUGAAGAUGCAUGGGACAGCCUGCAUUUCUAAGAAACAAGAAAUCGCUACAAGAGAGAGACUGAAUACUUUUCUUCCAGGUUGCCCAACCUGUGCUUCAAGACACAGGGUAUCCAGGGUGACUUCAGUAUGAUAUGAUAACUCUUGAUCUACAUGAAUUUAAGCAAAAGUCUAAGAGUCUACUGGGAAUGUAAUCUGUGGUGCCAGUCAUUUGAAACACACAUUUAAUAAGAAAAGAAUUGAAAUAACUGCAGCAGACACAGAUGACUUUGUUUCCUGCUGUGUUGAAGACAGGUAAGCAGCGAACAUGGCUAAAAUAAUUCAUAACAGAAAACUGUGCAGCUGCACAAAAAUACAUUCGGGGUGAGCACGGAG